rnacentral:rRNA from 1 species
AUUGAGCGCUGGCGGCAUGCUUUACACAUGCAAGUCGAACGGUAACAGGUCUUUCGGGAUGCUGACGAGUGGCGAACGGGUGAGUAAUGUAUCGGAACGUGCCCAGUAGUGGGGGAUAACUACUCGAAAGAGUGGCUAAUACCGCAUGAGAUCUCUGGAUGAAAGCGGGGGACCGUAAGGCCUCGCGCUACUGGAGCGGCCGAUAUCAGAUUAGGUUGUUGGUGAGGUAAAGGCUCACCAAGCCGACGAUCUGUAGCUGGUCUGAGAGGACGACCAGCCACACUGGGACUGAGACACGGCCCAGACUCCUACGGGAGGCAGCAGUGGGGAAUUUUGGACAAUGGGCGAAAGCCUGAUCCAGCCAUGCCGCGUGCAGGAAGAAGGCCUUCGGUUGUAACUGCUUAGUCUAGGAAAAGGGGUGACGAGGUUAAGUACCUACGUGUCUUUGAUUGGUACGUAGGAAGAAUAAGACACCGGCUAACUACGUGUCCAGCAGACCC